AUGCAGCUGAAGAAAUUGGUGGAUGAGAAUACAAAUGCUCUUCAUAAUUUGAAAAAAGCUGAUGAGCCUGCGCCUGUGGGGAAUUACGAUCAGAGGAAGGAAGAAGAAGAAAAGCUAUUGCUAAAGCUCUCUCUGCAGCUGCAGAAACUUGUUCUUGUCUUGGAUCAGGAUAAUGGGACUAUGAAUUACGCGGUGGGUGAGGAGCGUCAGAAAGAUCCUCAAACAGGAGAUGAAAAUGGAGAGGAGGACGAGAGUGAAGAUGAAGAAAGUAGCGAGGAGGAAGACAGUGAAGAAACAGAUGAUGAAGACGAGGAUAAAUUGUUGGAUGAUCCAAAUGUUAAAGAAUGUAUUGCGGUUGGAAACUUUAAUGCACAGCAGGAAGGGGAUCUCACAUUUACGAAAGGCGAGGUCCUGCUUAUACAUGACAAGAAGGCGGACGGCUGGUGGGUAGCUGAAAACUCGAAAGGGGAGAGAGGCCUCGUUCCUAGAACCUAUCUUGCGGUCCAUAAUGACGAUGUCGACAGCCAAGAGCAAAGUGAAGAACACAUAGAAGUGGUGGAUGAAACAGCAGAUGGAACUGAAAUUAAAAAAAGAACAGAUUCUCACUGGAGUGCUGUAAGAAGAGCUAUCGCAGAGAAUGACACAGUGGAGGUAUUGGCAACCAUAGGAGCAGUUCCUGCAGGAUUCCGCCAAUCCACGCUUUCCCAGCUCUUAGAAGAAGGCAAUCAGUUUCGAGCAAGUUACUUUUUGCAGCCUGAACUUACUCCAUCACAGCUGGCUUUCAAAGACUUGGUGUGGAACUCUGACAAAAAUACUAUCUAUCCUAGACCAACUCGAGUAUCCCUGAUUGUAACUUUAUGUAGCUGUAAAAUGAUUCCUCUCCCAGGAGUCAGUAUACAGGUUCUCAGUAGACAUGUUCGACUCUGUCUAUUCGAUGGCAACCGGAUGCUGAGCAACGUUCACGCAGUGAGAGCUACGUGGCAACCUAAAAAUCCUCAAACAUGGACCUUUUCUCCAAGGGUAACGGGCAUUUUACCCAGCUUGCUGGAUGGUGACUGUUUUGUCAGGUCCAACUCUCUGUCUUCAGACAUUGGUAUAUUAUUUGAACUUGGCAUCACUUAUAUUCGCAACUCAACAGGUGAUAGAGGAGAGCUAAGCUGUGGCUGGGCAUUUCUGAAGCUUUUUACUUCUAAUGGAAUGCCUGUUCCUUCCAAGAUGUAUGAGCUGCUAUUAAAUGGUGGCACUCCCUAUGAGAGGGGCGUUGAGGUCGACCCAUCGAUAUCAAGAAGAGCAGGCAGUGGUGUUUUUCAUCAGUUUAUAACACUCAAGAAACAGCCUGUGCUUGUAGUGAAACUGAGGUCAUUAAGCGCGCAGUCAAGAGACAUCCUGAACUUGCUACCAGAAACGUUAAUUGGCAGUAUGUGCUACAUCCAUCUCUUGAUAUUUUAUCGACAAAUACUUGGUGAUGCACUCCUGAAAGACAGAAUAAGCACGCAAAGCACAGAAUUAAUCUGUAAUCCUAUUUUAGCAACUUUCCCUCAACUCGUGGAUCAGCCAGACCUGAUGGAUGCACUUCGGGUAUGUUAUCUACGUAGCGUUCAAUUACAUCUGAUGUGUCAGGAUUUCCAGAUAGUUUGCAAAAUUUGAGCUUUUUUAUCCUGUGAAAAGAUAAAUGGAAAAGCCAAACAGCAGAAAAGUUAUAAUCGUUUCAAGUGCAGAUCUCUUGUGUCUUAGUGCCUUCAAAACUGCAAGAGAACGCUUGAGUACGUGCAGGAGGGAUGCAAAGACAUAAAUGGGCUGGUUUGAGCACUGCUAGCCAUGUAGCCGCAGCAAGAGAGCGCGCAGGUAGAUCAGCUGUCUGAAUGUUUGUCUGGCCUCUAGGACAGCGCUGCUUUCAUGAUAGGCAGGAGCUGACUUAGCUUCUGACGGGCAGGACAGUGCUCACCGUAUUUACCCUGCAGUCCCUCGCAGGUGCCCUAGUACCAGACAACAACAGCUGAGUUAUUUCUGCCUGAAGGACACUACUGUUACACCUUGUCAGCCUUUGGGGUUAGGCUGUAUUUCUCCACGCUUGUAGGGUGGGGGGAGGAAAUAAAUCAACCUCGGUUUGAUUUUUCUGAAAAGUGGAUCCCCUGGGUUUCAUUUAUAUAGCUCUGAUAAUUUCAAAUCUCCAAAUCCUCGCAUCUGUAAAAGUUGGUGGAAUGGCUGUUUGCUUAAAUCAACUCAGCUGGCACAAGGGAGGAAUGGGGAGUGUGAGGAAAGUGGGACUGCAACAGGAGCUUAAACUACAGCGGGAUUGCAGCGAGAGAGAUUUUUGCAGCUAAAAAUGGAAUUGCUUUAGAUGUCCGCAAUCUCAGUCUGAUUUUACAUUUCAUUUCAUUUUAGAGUGCUUGGGCAGACAGAGAAAGAACGUUGAAGAGAUCUGAGAAGAGAGAUCAAGAAUUUCUGAAGUCUCUGUUUGUCCUGGUGUACCACGACUCUGU